UNCUGUGUCAGCGAGAUAUGGUACCAGC
rnacentral:piRNA from 1 species